GGUGUGGGAGACUCUUAUAGCCAGCCAGGACCUAUUGAAUCAGGUGAAGAUUCUUGUGAUGAGGGCCCUUCACCAUCACACAUGCAGCAUAGUGUGUCCAGGGCUGAUGUUCUUGCAGGCCAUCCACAGGGGGAUAGUGGUGUGGGAGCCUCUUAUAGCCGGCCCGGACCUAUUGGUAUGUCUUAACAAUUCAUUUAAGUUAGUGACUUAUGUGACACUAAAAGGUCCUGAUUCCCAUACAUUUGUCACUUACAGAUAUUUCACAGUCAAGAGCAACAGGACCCACUCAACCCCAGUUAAAGCUGUAUCCAAAAACCAUGCAAGGGGAGAAGAGGAGGUCGUUCAAUCCAUCCUGGUACAACAGGUUUUCAUGGCUUGAGUACUCAAUAAUGAAAGACUCAACGUACUGCUAUGCAUGCAGGCAGUUCUCUUUG